rnacentral:rRNA from 1 species
UAGGGAAUCUUCGGCAAUGGACGGAAGUCUGACCGAGCAACGCCGCGUGAGUGAAGAAGGUGUUCGGAUCGUAAAGCUCUGUUGUUAGAGAAGAACGUUGGUAGGAGUGGAAAAUCUACCAAGUGACGGUAACUAACCAGAAAGGGACGGCUAACUACGUGCAAGCAGCCGCGGUAAUACGUAGGUCCCGAGCGUUGUCCGGAUUUAUUGGGCGUAAAGCGAGCGCAGGCGGUUCUUUAAGUCUGAAGUUAAAGGCAGUGGCUUAACCAUUGUACGCUUUGGAAACUGGAGGACUUGAGUGCAGAAGGGGAGAGUAGAAUUCCAUGUGUAGCGGUGAAAUGCGUAGAUAUAUGGAGGAACACCGGUGGCGAAAGCGGCUCUCUGGUCUGUAACUGACGCUGAGGCUCGAAAGCGUGGGGAGCAAACAGG